GAGUCCCAAACAGGACGAAACGCGCGUC
rfam:Schistosoma mattheei strain Denwood, Zambia genome assembly, scaffold: SMTD_scaffold0034237